UCGUGUCGGAGAUGUUGGGUUAAGUCCCGCAACGAGCGCAACCCCUAUUGUUAGUUGCCAUCAUUAAGUUGGGCACUCUAGCGAGACUGCCGGUAAUAAACCGGAGGAAGGUGGGGAUGACGUCAAUCAUCAUGCCCCUUAUGACCUGGGCUACACACGUGCUACAAUGGUUGGUACAACGAGUCGCAAGCCGGUGACGGCAAGCUAAUCUCUUAAAGCCAAUCUCAGUUCGGAUUGUAGGCUGCAACUCGCCUACAUGAAGUCGGAAUCGCUAGUAAUCGCGGAUCAGCACGCCGCGGUGAAUACGUUCCCGGGCCUUGUACACACCGCCCGUCACACCACGAGAGUUUGUAACACCCGAAGUCGGUGAGGUAACCUUUUAGGAGCCAGCCGCCUAAGGNGGGAUAGAUGAUUGGGGUGAAGUCGUAACAAGGUAAGCCGUAUCGGAAGGUGCGGCUGGAUCACCUCCUUUCU
rnacentral:rRNA from 1 species